rnacentral:tRNA from 1 species
UCCAGGGUAGCCUAGUGGACAUGGCAUCUGCCCAGUAAGCAGAACAUUGUGGGUUCGAUUCCCAUCCUUGGAC